GACUAAUCUACAGAUACAUAUCAAACAGAAGGAGUUUGCCCCCUGAUCCGGUGAUAGUCACUUCUCGGACAAAUGAAGAUUCUUUAAUGGAUCCUGUGCAGGAAACACAGCCUGCCAAACCAGCAGCUGAUGGAACACCCAAUACACUAGUGGAAACAGAGGAAGGAGUGAUCACGUGAACCAGGUUUUAUAACAUACG